GUGCCUACAAUUAGUCAAAGCCCGUUAAUGGGUAAUGGCGUGCCUUUUGUAGAAUGAACCGGCGAGUUACGUUUGCUUGCGAGGUUAAGAUGAAAAGUCGGAGCCGUAGCGAAAGCGAGUCUGAACAGGGCGAAUGAGUAAGCAGAUGUAGACCCGAAACCAAGUGACCUACCCAUGACCAGGUUGAAGGUGUGGUGAAACACACUGGAGGACCGAACCCAUGUAUGUUGAAAAAUGCUGGGAUGAGUUGUGGGUAGCGGUGAAAUUCCAAACGAACUUGGAGAUAGCUGGUUCUCUCCGAAAUAGCUUUAGGGUUAGCCUCGGAGGAUGGAUCAUGGAGGUAGAGCACUGUUUGAACUAGGGGCCCAUCAAGGGUUACUGAAUUCAGAUAAACUCCGAAUACCAUCGAUCUUACUCCGGGAGUCAGACAGUGAGCGAUAAGGUCCAUUGUCGAAAGGGGAACAGCCCAGAUCACCAGUUAAGGUCCCUAAAUUUAUGCUAAGUGGAAAAGGAUGUGGCGUUGCACAGACAACUAGGAUGUUGGCUCAGAAGCAGCCACCAUUUAAAGAGUGCGUAAUAGCUCACUAGUCGAGUGGCACUGCGCCGAAAAUAUACCGGGGCUAAGCAUAAUACCGAAACUGUGGGUGCACCCGUAAGGGUGCGCGGUAGGAGAGCGUUCUAAGGGCGU
rnacentral:rRNA from 2 species